rnacentral:rRNA from 1 species
CCUACGGGAGGCAGCAGUAGGGAAUCUUCCACAAUGGACGCAAGUCUGAUGGAGCAACGCCGCGUGAGUGAAGAAGGGUUUCGGCUCGUAAAGCUCUGUUGGUAGUGAAGAAAGAUAGAGGUAGUAACUGGCCUUUAUUUGACGGUAAUUACUUAGAAAGUCCAGGCUAACUACGUGCCAGCAGCCGCGGUAAUACGUAGGUGGCAAGCUUUGUCCGGAUUUAUUGGGCGUAAAGUGAGUGCAGGCGGUUCAAUAAGUCUGAUGUGAAAGCCGUCGGCUCAACCGGGGAAUUGCAUCAGAAACUGUUGGACUUGAGUGCAGAAGAGGUGAGUGGAAUUCCAGGUGUAGCGGUGGAAUGCGUAGAUAUAUGGAAGAACACCAGUGGCGAAGGCGGCUCUCUGGUCUGCAACUGACGCUGAGGCUCGAAAGCAUGGGUAUCGAACAGGAUUAGAUACCCCAGUAGUC